GUCUAUAACCAGUUAGGGUAGGAUAGACAUAUACUAAAAUUGGGAUUACACAGAGAAGAUUAGCAUGGCCCCUGCUCAAGGAGCAAAUGACUUUUUACAGCUAAGAGAUUUCA
rnacentral:snRNA from 1 species